AUUGAACGCUGGCGGCAUGCUUUACACAUGCAAGUCGAACGGUAACAGGGUGCUUGCACCGCUGACGAGUGGCGAACGGGUGAGUAAUGCGUCGGAACGUGCCGAGUAGUGGGGGAUAACGCAGCGAAAGUUGUGCUAAUACCGCAUACGUACUGAGGUAGAAAGUGGGGGACCUUCGGGCCUCACGCUAUUCGAGCGGCCGACGUCUGAUUAGCUAGUAGGUGAGGUAAAGGCUCACCUAGGCGACGAUCAGUAGCGGGUCUGAGAGGAUGAUCCGCCACACUGGGACUGAGACACGGCCCAGACUCCUACGGGAGGCAGCAGGGGGGAAUUUUGGACAAUGGGCGAAAGCCUGAUCCAGCCAUGCCGCGUGUCUGAAGAAGGCCUUCGGGUUGUAAAGGACUUUUGUCAGGGAGGAAAUCCCUAGUGCUAAUAACACUGGGGGAUGACAGUACCUGAAGAAUAAGCACUGGCUAACUACGUGCCAGCCGCCGCAGUAA
rnacentral:rRNA from 1 species